GGUGCUAGCUCUCUUACAGAGAUUGCUUUCUGGAUUGUCGAAGUGACUUGAUGUUUUGAUCUUCUUCUCAAGAAAAUUAGAUAGAUCUAAAAGAGGAAGAUGAAAUCAGAUCACAUCUAUUUUUUUUUCUUUUCUUUUCUCAAGAGAAAAUAUGAAGAUCUAUAGAAGAAGACAAGAGAUCUAAUCUCUUUCUUUUUUCUACUUGUCCAACCCUUGGACUAGAUCUAGGAAAGGAAGAGGAGAACCGUUUGUGCCCAUCUCAUA
rnacentral:lncRNA from 1 species